rnacentral:rRNA from 1 species
UACGGAGGGUGCAAGCGUUAAUCGGAAUUACUGGGCGUAAAGCGCACGCAGGCGGUCAAUUAAGUCAGAUGUGAAAGCCCCGAGCUUAACUUGGGAAUUGCAUCUGAAACUGGUUGGCUAGAGUCUUGUAGAGGGGGGUAGAAUUCCAGGUGUAGCGGUGAAAUGCGUAGAGAUCUGGAGGAAUACCGGUGGCGAAGGCGACUCUCUGGUCUGCAACUGACGCUGAGGCACGAAAGCGUGGGUAGCGAACAGG